rnacentral:rRNA from 1 species
CCUGGGGAGUACGUUCGCAAGAAUGAAACUCAAAGGAAUUGACGGGGGCCCGCACAAGCGGUGGAGCAUGUGGUUUAAUUCGAUGAUACGCGAGGAACCUUACCAGGGCUUAAAUGUAAGUUGCAUUAGUUAGAGAUAGCUAUUUCUUCGGACUACUUACAAGGUGCUGCAUGGUUGUCGUCAGCUCGUGCCGUGAGGUGUCAGGUUAAGUCCUAUAACGAGCGCAACCCCUACCGUUAGUUGCCAGCAUGUUAUGAUGGGGACUCUAACGGGACUGCCGGUGCAAACCGCGAGGAAGGUGGGGAUGACGUCAAAUCAUCACGGCCCUUACGUCCUGGGCUACACACGUGCUACAAUGGUAUAUACAGAGGGCAGCUACCUGGCAAUAGGAUGCGAAUCUUAAAAGUAUAUCUCAGUUCGGAUCGGAGUCUGCAACUCGACUCCCGUGAAGCUGGAAUCGCUAGUAAUCGCAUAUCAGCCAUGAUGCGGUGAAUACGUUCCCGGGCCUUGUACACACCGCCCGUCAAGCCAUGGAAGCUGGGAGUACCUGAAGUCCGUCACCGUAAGGAGCGGCCUAGGGUAAAACUGGUAACUGGGGCU